rnacentral:rRNA from 1 species
GAUGAACGCUAGCGACAGGCUUAACACAUGCAAGUCGAGGGGCAUCGGGGUUGUAGCUUGCUAUAACUGCCGGCGACCGGCACACGGGUGAGUAACACGUAUGCAACCUGCCCGUUGCAGGGGGAUAAGCGGAAGAAAUUCCGUCUAAUACCGCGUAAUAUGGAUAAGAGGCAUCUCUAAUUCAUUAAAGACUUAUCGGCAACGGAUGGGCAUGCGGUGCAUUAGCUAGUUGGGGGGGUAACGGCCCACCAAGGCGACGAUGCAUAGGGGUUCUGAGAGGAAGGUCCCCAACACUGGUACUGAGACACGGACCAGACUCCUACGGGAGGCAGCAGUGAGGAAUAUUGGUCAAUGGGCGAGAGCCUGAACCAGCCAAGUCGCGUGAGGGAAGACGGUCCUACGGAUUGUAAACCUCUUUUGUCGGGGAGCAAGAGCUCUACGAGUAGAGUAGUGAGAGUACCCGAAGAAAAAGCAUCGGCUAACUCCGUGCCAGCCGCCGCAGUAACAC